CUAGACAGAAAGUAGCCUAAUGACAUUUAGUAAGUAAGCAACCUCUCUGCUACAACUUUUCUGACUGAACUUAGCUUUGACCUAGGUUGUGAACAAUUUGUAUUGUUUUUUUUAUAUCUCAACUUUUAGAACUCAACUUUCUCCUGGUUCUGCCACCGACUCAGAGGAGGAUGAGCCUGAGCCUGAGCCUGAAAGGGAGGCACCAGAAGAAAUGCCAGAGCGACCGCGCGCAGGGAGAGGACGAGGGAGAGGACGAGGGAGAGGGAGAGGGAGAGCUGCACAUCGAGUGAAUCAACCUGUUGUCCAGACAUCUAGCUAUGAUGAUCCAGACAUGCCCAACCAGUUGCCAUCUUUCCGUCCUGUACGCCAGCCUGGUGUUCACCUAGAUGUACCAGUAACACGAGAUUCACCGGGCUGCAAACCCUGAUGUAGCUGCGCUCAAGCGACCACAAAAGUAUUCUGUGACCGAAUUCAGAGAGGAGCUUGUCCGGCAGCUGGCUGGCCUUGAGGAGUAUGGAGAGCCCCCAGUUUAUGCUUCUGUACAAAACCCUGGGGAAUUUGUCUCUGAUCACAUUCCUUCUGUCUCUGAUACAAAGAGAAAUUGUAGAGUCUGCUAUGACACCAGCAAACAAGCACUCAAGGUUGUUACAAAAUGUGAUGCCCCUCAAUGCCAGGUCUACUUGCACAUAACUCAAGACAAGAAUUGUUUUAAAGUAUGGCAUACAAAGAAUUAUGAACAUAGAAAGAGCAAUAAAAACAAAAAUGAAUUGUGAACACAGAAAUUGAUUAGUUUUGUUCCUUGAUUUUUGUUGAUUUAUCUUGUCAUAAUUGUUCAUUGACUGCACUUUACAUGAUUGUUCAUCAUCAAUUAGAAACACUGUCUUAGUUGAUUGUUGAUUGACCGUUGCUGUUGAUUGAUUUUGUAUUGUUUGUUAAAUAUAAAUAAGAAGAACGUUUUGGUACUGUUUAUAGUGAUUGACAAGAAAGUAUUGUUUAUUGCACAUGAAAACAGGAGGCACUUCCCAUUACCAUUGAUCUGACAUUGAGUGUUCAUUUACUAUUGAUUGUUUAUUGGAAAUGCACUUACUAAUGAAUUUACAUUUAUUAUUAGAUUUUAUUGAUUGACUGACAUGCCUUUUCAUCCUAAAUAAGAAGCACUUUUUUAGUUGAUGGUUGACUUUUUGUCCAUUGCUGCUUAUGUUUAUUGAUUGUUAUUUUUCGUGAUUGAUAAUUGCACUUCUUUAUUGAGUUACCACAUCUAAAAAAAAAUGACUUAAGCAAUAUGUUUUGUAAUAACUUAUGUUUGCAAAUAAAUCAACUAAAUACCAUCAAAAUUGAUGUUGGGUGUUUUGGUGGUUUACAAAAAAAAAGUUAAAAUGUACAUGUUUGGGUUUUUUAGGUGUAAAUUUUCAGCGGUCACUAAAAGGUUAACACUUUCUUUUCCAGAAGGAUUUGUAUUACCUGUCCUAAAGUAUAAUGAAACAUACCAUAUAUAGCUCUGUCUCAUUGAUAUAUGGCCAAAAUAACUUAUUUUGACCAUUCUGUCUGGAUUUUGAGGUCAAAUGUCAAAUUGGGCAGUGAAGACAUUCUACUCUGUAAAGAUUCUAUAAUUUUCUGCAAACGUACAGGGCAUAAUGAAUUGACCAUAACUUUUGAGCAGAAAAUGAUAAAUUGAUUCUGUUUUUUUUCAUUGAGUAGGGGACAACUUUGCUAGUCUGUCAUAUACUCUAUGUUUUUCCCUAUCUACAACAGAAAUUAGGGAAAAAAUAACAUUUCUGUUGAAAUCUGUAAUUUUUAUGAUUUUUUCGGAUUAAUUUUGAGCAUAUUUAUAAAAAUAAUUAUGCUACCUUUACACAUAAUUAUUUAUGUUUUAUACCAUUUUAAAGUGCUCUUUCUUCUGAUUACAAUGGUGUGUAUAUUUCAUCUCUGCCAUGUAGUAUGGCCACACAUUAAGGUUAUUUGUGCCAUGAGGUCAUCAAGUGUGGAAAAAAUGGAAUGUUCGGGGCAGUCAACAAAGGGUUAAAGGGAUUGCUCUCUGAUCUUCUGUAUCCAGAUUUCAGCUUCUUCCUUUAUGCUGUCUUAUAAAAGUUUAGAUUUAAAGGUUUGAUUCUUCUUUUCUAUACAGCAAAAGCUGGGCUAUCUCUGAUAUGAGCAAAUGGCUUUCAUUUCCAAUUUGUGAAGAGAUUACAUAAAUAAACAACAUUAUAAGAAAAA